UCAUAGGGUAUUUUGAAUCUUAAGGAUGG
rnacentral:piRNA from 1 species